GGGCAACUUAAUUUAUCUUGAAGGCUUUAUUUUUUUCUCCUCUUUAGUGAGUGAGGGCUCCAUGUCAGUUAUCAAAAGGUUACUCGUACAAGUCCCGGUUGAGACACCCAGGGGAUGUUGAGUCAGUACAGGAGGGCUGCUGAGAUUGUGCCUUGAGCUCUAAACUUAACCCUGAUUAAUUCUGGGGUGCUGAACAUGGCAACGCUGUCAUCACACUUGCGUGCAUGUGCUAAUAAAUAUCUGAAUGAUAUUUAGAUUAUAAAUCCUGAAAUAAUUUUAUGAAUCUGACUGGACUGGUUGUGCUGUAUGGUUUUGAUUCAGUAAAAUAAACCAGCUCAUAAGAGUCAUUACUUUAGGAAUAGGACUGUUGUGCUCUGAUUUAGAUUCACUAGAUUCAUUUGCUAUGUUUCCUGCUUUAUAUUUAGUAGCAGUGUUGCAGUUCAGCUGAAUAGUAGUGCAGGAAACAUUGUCAGCGCAUUAUAUUAUAGCGUAUAAUUCACAUUCCAGAACUUUUUAAUGCGUCAGUCGAUUACAGUGUUAUUUUUUUUUUUAAGAAUGAAGCUGAUUCUUUUUCUGAGUUCUUGUUUUCGGUUCCCAACCCUUAUGUUCUUGACGAUGGAAAAGGUUUAUUCUAUCCCCAAUGUUGUGACUUUGGAGAUAUUUAUUUAAACCCUUGAAUUUAUUUCUAUUCACCAUCUGACCUGUUCUAUUGCCGUGUGGCUCUGCAGUGUUGUGCAUCUGCUCCUGUCAAGUCAGUAUGCACAGGGAGAACACAAGGCAUUAAGACUGCAGAUUGAUCUGCCUUUUUCCAGAUUGGAUUUGUUCCAAAGCCUUGGAAUGGGUUUUGAGCAUUUGUUAAUCUAGCUCUGAAAUUGAAGUGGUCUGGGCAGCACAUUCAGCAUGAUGGAUUACAUAUCAAAGUGGGUCUGCUAACUGUCUUAGAAGAAAAUCUAUGGACUCUAUGGAAGAGAGACUAUCUAGUGUGAUGUACAACCAUCUGCUGGACUUUGAGUCGUUCAGUUUCACAAAUCACAUGUAGGAUCUGCAAAGUUGAGUUUUAACAAGACACCAACUGCAUCUAGCAAAUAAAAAGAUGUUGUUAAUGUCAAAGAAUUUAGUGACAAACACAUCUGUUUAAGUGUUUUUUAUUUCACCAACAAUAAUAAAGAUGAAAAAAGGGUGUUAAAAAUAUUGUUGAAAAUUACAAAAUAUAGAAAAAAAUAUUAUUACUCACACAGGCAUAUACACUACAUAAAUGUAAUAUCAGAACUUCUGCAAAAAAUGAUGGAAAUGCAAGCGAAGUUGCAUGCUAAUCAGAAGUCAUGUGUUUCCGUAUGUAACCUGAAAAGUAUGGCCUUGCUAACAUAUUCAUCCUUUUUUCUUUUUUUUUUUAGGUAAGGCCAAUAUUACAGCAAAAGAGGCCGUGUCUAGGUGGACGGAUAAUGUUUUUGCAAUCAAAUCCUGGGCAAAGAAGAAGUUUGGGUUCGAGAACAACCGCUUGGACAAAGCUUUUGGAAUACCAGAGGACUUUGACUAUAUUAAUUGACCAAACAUUCACAGCCUCUUGGAUCUUGUUCAACACUGCACAAUCAAUAAGAUUUAUUCUCUUACAUCAGUUUGUUUUACAUUUUGUUUCUCAGUUCUGCAUGUUCGAGACAAAGCUGUGAGCUAUAUACAUUGUGAAGAGUGUGGUGUAAAUUCUCAGGGUUGCCCCACCCUUGAAAUUUGAACCUUGUCUAGUCCAAGGCAAACUUCAAGAUUGAUUUGUCAGCAUAAAAGGAUAAACGAUGGUGAAAAUGCUCCCGGUGUGUAAGCGGAGAAGGUGUUGUGUUAACCCUUGGCUGCUCAGAGAUGCACCCUAUAACCAAACUGACUGUUUGGACACCUGUUGAUAGAGAAACUGAGCUUCACAGAUGGUGCUAGGAUAGUUCAUUGAGGUGCGCAUUUAAGGAAAAUAAUCACAGGUUUGAGUAAGUUUAAAGGAUGGUAAAAUUGUUUAUGUUCAUGUCACUUCAGAUGCUUUAAUUUUUUUGAUUGCAUUUUUGUUUCAUUAGUGGCCAGUUUUCAUAGUGCUAUUUGUUGUAUUUUGUAAAUAUGAAAAAUGGCCAAUGGCUAAUAAAUGUAGUUAUCAAGCACAUUUUGUAAUAAAGCAUCAUUUCCUGCCAAAUAA